rnacentral:tRNA from 1 species
GCCACGGUGGUCUAGCGGUUAAACGCUGGCCUUGUAAUCCUGGGGUCUCGGGUUAGAUUCCCGGCGGUGCCC